GCAUAUGGAGGUUCCCAGGCUAGGGGUCAAAUUGGAGCUGUAGCCACCGGCCUACACCACAGCCACAGCAACGUGAGAUCCAAGCCUCAAGUGGCAACCUACACCACAGCCCAUGGCAUCGCUGGAUCUUUAGCCCACUGAGCGAGGCCUGGGAUCGAACCUGAGUCCUCAUGGUUACUAGGCGUGUUUGUUAACUGUUGAGCCACUUCGGGAACACCCAGGCUUUGGUUUUGCCCCAUGGAAGUGAGCUUUUCAAGGGUAGGGCUGUGUCUGACUCAUCUUUGUGUUCCAAACCCUUUACGCAAUAGCUGCUCGUAAAUGUGUCUGGCCUCACCUCACAAAGUCCCCUAUUUCAUAGCUAUGAGCUCAACACCAAACUCUUCUUUCAGAUUUUAUUAGAGCUGAAUUUGGAAUCCAGGAGAAGGAAAGACUCCUGUGCUUCCGGAAGGAUGGUCCUGGCAGCAUUGUUUAUGUAGCCUUGGUUUCUGCCUCCUGGCUAUCAUCCUGUCUUUCAGCCUCUGGGGUAAUUCUUGGCUAGGGGUCUAAUCGGAGCUGUAGCCUCCCGCCUACACCACAGGCAUAGCAAUGCAGCAAUGAGGGAUCUGAGCAGCAUCUGCACCCUACACUACAGCUCACGGCAAUGCCGGAUUCUUAACCCACUGAGCAAGGCCAGGGAUUGAACCUGAAACCUCAUGGUUCCUAGUCAGAUUCGUUAACCACUGAGCCACAACAGGAACUCCCCCGAGCCCCCAUUCUACCUUAAGGGUGAGACCCAACAUCUCCCCACCUGCGGGGCUGACUGCUGUGAAGUGGGGGUGGCUUCUAAUAUAGAGCAUAAUUAUUGGGGAGGGUUUAUUAACCAGCUGCUUCUCUGUGUAGUUAGGGUGAAGGAUGCUGCGUUCAGUGGUCCCUCUUAAUUAUUGUAUUAGGCCAGACAGAGGACACUCCUUUUCUUGCAGAAGGGAGUACAACAGGACUUAGCAAGGUCACCCCGAGCCUUGGUGUAGAAGGAUGGAGAGACAGUGGAGCCCAGCUUGUGGCAACUCUGGAUCCUUUACUCACUGAGCAAAGCCCAGGAUGGAACCUGCCUCCUCGUGGAUGCUAGUUGGGUUAUUAAUCUGCUGAGCCACCAUGGGAGCUCCUUCGAUUGCUUCUUGACUAACAAAGCAAUUGGUAGGCUCUGAAAAUAAGAUUCUGGAAUUGGGUUUCUUGCAUGUUUGAUAAGCACAGGGAAACCUCCAUGCUUGGGGUGGGGGGAUUAAUAAUCCGUGGCAUGUGAUGCCAUCACAGUUAUUAAAAUAUUAUCAGUGGUGGCAUAGGAUGGACUGCAGCUUGAGAAUAAAGCCUUAUUAAAUGGUGCUUUUCAGAGGAGUCACACACUGACAGGGCUGUGGGCAGGCAUUGCUUCCAGCUCCCCAUACCUCACGGGAACAAACUGGGCCAGACACUGACUGCUGCAGUCCAUGGUCACUUCUCCAGGGGCACAGAGUUGAGCAGCUUUUUAAUUAGGUCUAGCGAGCCGGCCGCAUGCAGCCUCAGCAGUUGUGCUUCAGGCUCAGUGCAUCCAGGGCGUCCCCCUGUUUCAAAGAGAGAUCUUCGAUCCAUGUUUUUAGCAGCAUUACUCACAAUACUACUGAUAUGGAGCAAGAGUCUGUCACCUGUUGAAGGGAUGAAGAAGAUAUGGUUCUAUUUAAAUCCCAGUUAAAUAGAAUUGAGAGACCAGAAGGGGAAGUUCUCACUCCCUGCAGGGAUAGCAGAGCCCAACAGGAAGAGGAAAGACUCUUCUUUCCUGGCAAGGACUCAGCCAAUGAAAAGCCGCAUAGUCUGUUUGCUAUAGCCCUCUUAACUUCCUUUUCUCUAUAAAAUCAUUCUUCUUCUUCCCUUGCAGUGCAGGGAUUUGCACAUGGUUUACCAUGGCUGCAGCCCCAAAUUGCUAUUCCCCAAUAAACCCAUCUUUGCUGGGGCGGGGGUGGGGGGCGGAGAAUAAAGCCUUAAGAGAAGUAAGUCAUUGGCACUUCGUUGCUAUGGAAACACUGAUGGUUACAUGGAUUCUAGGAUGGGUGGGCUUCUGUUGAUGGCCCUAGAGAAGGCCAUAGAUAAACUCCAGAUCUUGACUUCGUAACUGAAGCGUCAGGUGGAGUAGCAGAAGGCAUGUCUGCAGUGGUAAAAUCCUUUCCCUUAGCCGCAGGACAGACACAGCUAAGGAUCUGGUCCAAGGUCUGGGUUGCAGGGCUGCAGUGUCAGGUAAAUACGCAGUGCCAGUUACUGGCGCAUGUUAGGAAUGUCUCUUAGCUAAGGCAAGGACCUUGAAACUUGUUAGAAAUACAAAUUAGAAGACUUCGACUGACAAAUUAAAGGACUGAUAAGAAGACCAACUGAAUUAAAAAUUCUGGGAUUGGGGCCCAGAAGCUGUGUUAGAACAAGGCUUCCAGGUGAUUCUGAUGCAUGCUAAAGGUUGAGAACCACUGUACCAGAAAAUACUUCCUAUUGCAUCCCAAUCAAUAAAGAUAAUUAAAAAAGAGUUCACCUUCAUCAGGCAGGAGACAGUGGUACACCUCAGGAUUGUACUACUCUGCUGCAUUCACUGGUACAUCAUAACUGGAUUUGAAUGGGACCCAGAGAAAUGAAAGGCUCUAGAACAGUCCAGGCUAUGAUGAAAGCUACUUUACCCCUUGAGCCUUAAGACCCGGCAGACGCAAUGCUAUAGGAAGUGUCCAUGGCAGAUAAAGAUGCUGUAUGGAGCAGAUUCUUCUGAUAGGAGCAGCAUGGUGCUAACUCAACUAUAUGAGAUUGGAGGAGGGAAUUCAAGUUAGUCUUGGGGAGAAGAUGUAUGUAGAAGGAUGUCUUUGAAGGAGCUCUGAAGGUGAAGCUAUU
rnacentral:lncRNA from 1 species